AGGACGAACGCUGGCGGCGUGCUUAACACAUGCAAGUCACGGGGGCCCGCAAGGGCAACCGGCGAACGGGUGCGUAACACGUGAGCAACCUACCGAGAUGUGGGGGAUAGCCGGCCCAACGGCCGGGUAAUACCGCAUACGCUCUUUCCACGGCAUUGUGGAUUGAGGAAACCUCCGGGGCAUUUCGAGGGGCUCGCGGCCUAUCAGCUAGUUGGUGAGGUAAAGGCUCACCAAGGCGACGAUCCGUAGCUGGUCUGAGAGGAUGAUCAGCCACACUGGGACUGAGACACGGCCCAGACUCCUACGGGAGGCAGCAGUGGGGAAUUUUGGACAAUGGGGGCAACCUGAUCCAGCCAUGCCGCGUGAGUGAAGAAGGCCUUCGGUUGUAAAGCU
rnacentral:rRNA from 1 species